UACAGAGGGUGCAAGCGUUGUUCGGAAUCAUUGGGCGUAAAGCGCACGUAGGCGGCUCAUUAAGUCAGGUGUGAAAUCCCUGGGCUCAACCUAGGACGUGCACUUGAAACUGGCGAGCUUGAAUCUCGGAGAGGGUGGUGGAAUUCCCAGUGUAGAGGUGAAAUUCGUAGAUAUUGGGAGGAACACCGGUGGCGAAGGCGACCACCUGGACGAAGAUUGACGCUGAGGUGCGAAAGCGUGGGGAUCAAACAGG
rnacentral:rRNA from 1 species